GAUGAACGCUGGCGGCGUGCCUAAUACAUGCAAGUCGAGCGAACGGACGAGAAGCUUGCUUCUCUGAUGUUAGCGGCGGACGGGUGAGUAACACGUGGAUCACCUACCUAUCAGACUGGGAUAACUUCGGGAAACCGGAGCUAAUACCGGAUAAUAUUUUGAACCGCAUGGUUCAAAAGUGAAAGACGGUCUUGCUGUCACUUAUAGAUGGAUCCGCGCUGCAUUAGCUAGUUGGUAAGGUAACGGCUUACCAAGGCAACGAUGCAUAGCCGACCUGAGAGGGUGAUCGGCCACACUGGAGCGGAGACGCGGUCCAGACUCCUACGGGAGGCAGCAGAAGGGAAUCUGCCGCAAUGGGCGAAAGCCUGACGGAGCGACGCGGCGUGAGUGAUGAAGGUCUUCGGAUCGUAAAACUCUGUUAUUAGGGAAGAACAUAUGUGUAAGUAACUGUGCACAGCUUGACGGUACCGAAUCAGAAAGCCACGGCUAACUACGUG
rnacentral:rRNA from 1 species